rnacentral:rRNA from 1 species
CGCUGGCGGCAGGCCUAACACAUGCAAGUCGAGCGGUAGAGAGAAGCUUGCUUCUCUUGAGAGCGGCGGACGGGUGAGUAAUGCCUAGGAAUCUGCCUGGUAGUGGGGGAUAACGUUCGGAAACGGACGCUAAUACCGCAUACGUCCUACGGGAGAAAGCAGGGGACCUUCGGGCCUUGCGCUAUCAGAUGAGCCUAGGUCGGAUUAGCUAGUUGGUGAGGUAAUGGCUCACCAAGGCGACGAUCCGUAACUGGUCUGAGAGGAUGAUCAGUCACACUGGAACUGAGACACGGUCCAGACUCCUACGGGAGGCAGCAGUGGGGAAUAUUGGACAAUGGGCGAAAGCCUGAUCCAGCCAUGCCGCGUGUGUGAAGAAGGUCUUCGGAUUGUAAAGCACUUUAAGUUGGGAGGAAGGGCAGUUACCUAAUACGUGAUUGUUUUGACGUUACCGACAGAAUAAGCACCGGCUAACUCUGUGCCAGCAGCCGCGGUAAUACAGAGGGUGCAAGCGUUAAUCGGAAUUACUGGGCGUAAAGCGCGCGUAGGUGGUUUGUUAAGUUGGAUGUGAAAUCCCCGGGCUCAACCUGGGAACUGCAUUCAAAACUGACUGACUAGAGUAUGGUAGAGGGUGGUGGAAUUUCCUGUGUAGCGGUGAAAUGCGUAGAUAUAGGAAGGAACACCAGUGGCGAAGGCGACCACCUGGACUGAUACUGACACUGAGGUGCGAAAGCGUGGGGAGCAAACAGGAUUAGAUACCCUGGUAGUCCACGCCGUAAACGAU